GUUGGAUCUGAGCGAGGUCCUGGUCGGUUACUACGGCGAGGAUUACGCCCUGGCGGUGACGGCCGCGGUGCUGUCCGAGAGCAACUGCAAGCCCCAGGCGAAGACGCUUCUCAGCGCCACCGGGAAAGGUGCUUGCAUUUCGGUUCCGAAUCCCAUGCCCCCUUUCAGCACCCACUCAGGAAAAGCUGAAAGAAAGAGCAGCAGCAAACAGGACCUGAUUCCCGACCCUUUUGCAAAGGGGAAAUGCUUGUGCGUCAAAGUAAAGGAUUGCUCCGAAAUACAACCAACUCUUGUGCAAGAUGCUAAGAGGACUCUGAAGACAUACAGG